rnacentral:rRNA from 1 species
GACGAACGCUGGCGGCGUGCUUAACACAUGCAAGUCGAACGGAAAGGCCCUGCGUUUGUGGGGUGCUCGAGUGGCGAACGGGGGAGUAACACGUGAGUAACCUGCCCUUGACUUUGGGAUAACUUCAGGAAACUGGGGCUAAUACCGGAUAGGAGCUCCUGCUGCAUGGUGGGGGUUGGAAAGUUUCGGCGGUUGGGGAUGGACUCGCGGCUUAUCAGCUUGUUGGUGGGGUAGUGGCUUACCAAGGCUUUGACGGGUAGCCGGCCUGAGAGGGUGACCGGCCACAUUGGGACUGCGAGACGGCCCAGACUCCUACGGGAGGCAGCAGUGGGGAAUAUUGCACAAUGGGCUGAAGCCUGAUGCAGCAGCGCCGCGUGCGUGAUGCCGGCUUUCGGGUUGUAAACCACUUUCGCCUGUGCCGAAGCGUGCGUGACGGUAACGGGUAAAGAAGCACCGGCUAACUACGUG